rnacentral:tRNA from 1 species
AAUGAUGAGCCUGAAUAAAGGAAUAUCGUGAUAGGAUAAAACAUGUAGAAUAUAAAUCUACCUUCAUUA